rnacentral:lncRNA from 1 species
UACAAAGGAUGUACAAAGGGUUUACACAAGAUGUACAAAGGGUUUACAAAAGGUGUACAAGGAUGUAAAUAGAUGUAGAAAAUGUGUACAAAGGGUCUACACAAAGAGUGUAGAAAUGAUGUACAAACGGUGUACCAAUGAUGUACAAAGGGUGUGUAAAGGGUGUACAAAGGAUGUUCGAAGGUUAUACAAAGGGUGUAGAAAUGGUGUAUGAAGGGUAUACAAAUAUGUAGAAAGAUGUAGAAAGGGUGUAGAAAGAGUGUACAAAGGGUGUACUAAGAGUGUACAAAAGGUUGUGUAAAAGGUAUACAAACAGUUUACAAAGGGUUAGUAAUGGUUGUACAAAUGGUGUAUAACGGUGUACAAUGGGUGUAGGGCCCCACUCAUGAUAUGCAUAAAGUGUGUGUGUGAAGGGAGAACGCCAUGCAUACCCAAACCCUCACCUGCAAAACAACCAGAAAAAUUCCUAGGCAGAUAUAAACAUGUUUUCUACCCUAGGGUUCAAUAUCCAACAAUUCACAUGCAGUUAUUUCAAAAACCAAAUCAUAGAUAAAGAAAUGGGGAAGAAAAACACAAAGCAAAACCACAUUGAAUUCGCACAUUUAAUUAAAUGGCCUGACUCUCUAUCUCCCCAGUGGAGUCGCCAUCUGUCGCAACCGAAAAAUCGCGACGGGACGACGACCCAAAGAGAAAAAUAGUUAAGAAAAGUUUUUGGAAAAAGAGAUUUGGAGUCGCCACCAUAGUUUAUUCUGGAAAACUAUGGAAAAAACCAUAAAAGAUAAGGCACAGUCCACGAAAACCAAAGAUUGGGUUCGGGAGUCGGUUACGUGUGGGGAAGGUGUCAGCACCCCCACAACGCCUGCCCUAAGGCAGUACCUUUAACUAAAUACGCG